rnacentral:rRNA from 1 species
UACGAAGGGGGCUAGCGUUGCUCGGAAUUACUGUGCGUACAGCGCACGUAGGCGGCUCUUUAAGUCGGGGGUGAAAUCCUGGAGCUCAACUCCAGAACUGCCUUCGAUACUGAAGAGCUUGAGUCCGGGAGAGGUGAGUGGAACUGCGAGUGUAGAGGUGAAAUUCGUAGAUAUUCGCAAGAACACCAGUGGCGAAGGCGGCUCACUGGCCCGGUACUGACGCUGAGGUGCGAAAGCGUGGGGAGCAAACAGG